rnacentral:lncRNA from 1 species
GAUGAUCAAGCUUCACCUAUCAACGUUGAGAAGGAGAUAGUGCUUCCUAAUCUAAAGGUGUUGUCGCUAGAACAAUUAUCAAGUAUUGUCUGUUUUAGUUUCGGAUGGUGUGAUUAUUUCUUAUUCCCUCGUUUGAAGAAGUUGAAGAUCCAUCAAUGUCCAAAGCUGACCACAAAAUUUGCUACUACACCAGAUGGUUCAAUGAGUGCUCAAUCAGAGGUGCUGCUGAUUUGACUUGAUUUCUUGCAUGUCUUCUAGUGUGUUUGUUUCUUGUUUGGCUCAAUAAUAAGAUUUACAAGUUAAAAUGAGCAUGCCAUGCUUGAAUUGGUUUACAGGUAUCUGAAGAUUCAAGCAUUAAUAGAGAGUGGACCAGAAAUAACGGGUGGAAAAAAGUAGAAGAUGAUGAUGAUGAUGAUGAUGGGUCAGAAGAGGAAGAAGAUGAUGGUGAUGAUGAUUGGUAGUCUAAUAAUUGUUUCUUGCCCAAACCAGGUGAUAUAGCUGAAGAUCAUGGAUUGUCUUUGUUCUUCAUGUUUGCAUCAGGCAAGGUUGGUCAGCUGUUACAUGAUUUCAAGGUUGGUGCUGCGGAUAUGUUUUAGAUUGGUGGGAAGUAAUUCCUACUGCUUCAUUGGCAAUGUUGUGUGUUUAGUCAUUACUGUGGGAACCUCAAAAAAAUAAUGUUGCUUGCCCAUCAUCGUACAAGCCUCCAGAACUAAGGCCUGCGUAUGUUUGCUUGCCCAUUUGUGUUUCUUUUGGUUUAAUGUGUGGACUUUCAUGCGUAAGAUGCUGAACUCUUUGUUUGAUGUUCUGUUUCUAAUGCAUAAUGCAUUAUUAAAAAUGUUAUUGUAUGAGCAUGUGAAUAUAUUUGGGCAUUCAAAUCUCAAGAUGACUGAGACUUGAUGCUGAACUCUUUGUUCAAAAGUUUGAUACUGAUAUCAUGUUUUCCUAGCAGAGCAAUCUCUUGUUGAAUGGUUUUUGGAGCAGAUACCUUGCUGGCUUUCGCUAAUUUUCUCUUUUCUUUGUAAUUUUUUGAUGAAUUUCUCUUUUCUUUCUCAACCUCAAGAAUUAAAAUACAAGUAAAAUAAAGUUUUGUAUCAAAAAGUUUCAUUACCAAAAAGAAGAUUUAUCAAAAAUACAAGGCAUGGAGGCGUUGACACAAUUUGUUUUUUUAAGGCCCCCUAUUUUUUUUUUUUUCAUGUUUUAAUUUUUUUUUUCUCAACAAUAUAAUCGAUUUCUUUUUCGUAAAGUCGAGCACCAAACCAAUGGUGCGGCUUUUUAUUUAGUUCUAGAUGCUCAUAUAAAAUUAUCAACUUCAAAUUCCAAUUAACACAGCAUUGAAAGAUUAAUUUUUUUUAAAAAAAAGUAGAUGAUCAAAAGCGAAAAACAAAAGGCAAAGUUGACACUAUUUUUUUUCUUAAAAAAUAGUUUUUUAUUUGUUUCAAUUUUGAUCUUUUCAUUUUCAAUUUCUUAAAAAACAAUAUUUUUUUUUUUUUAAAUUGAGCAUUGUUCUAAUAUCAAGAUGUUUUAUUGAGAGCAAGAUAACUAUAAAAAAGGCAAAUAAAAUACAGUACCCAUCUCAAAUCUUAAUCAAUUCAUCAUCAAAGAUCACUUAAUAAAAAAAGGACAAAAAAAGUGAAAGUAAACAUUGUGUGAAUUCACAAUAUUUCCUCUCGGGGACUAUAUUGUUUCAGCCGAUCUCUUUUAGGUUUCUAUUAAUAUAUUUAUUUAUUUAUUUUUAUAAUGAAUAGGUAAGUUAUAUCUAACUAAUAAUAUAACACAUUGCUACCUACAUCCACAUAUACUAAAAAAAACACUCACUAUAGCCAUAUUAGUAGUUAUUUGACUCGCACUUUACUAUAGAUCAGAAAUGUUUAUUAGCAAAAUAAAUAAAUAUGAAUGCUUUUCAAAUGUAUUUUUAACAAAAAAAAAACCCCUAAUCAUAAAUACAAAAAAAAGGUAUUGACGUGUUUAUUUAACUCGCUUCGCUAUGGGUUAGAUAAUAUUUUCCAACACAAAAGAAUGGAUAUAUAUGUGUUGUUAAUGUAUUUUUUGAUAUCGAGAGAAAAAAAUAUAAUUGUGAAUAAAAAAAGUUGAUGUUUACAUAUAAUAAAAUCAAUUAAGGAUCAUAUAUGUUAAUAAAUACAAAAACAAUUGUUAACGCAACGCACCACAUGUAGGAAGUUAAUUUUUAAUGUAAUAGAAAAAUAGGAUGGUGUUUCAAAUGCAUUUUAUUGUAUCAUGAUUCUCUUAAUUGAGAAAUGUGAAACAAAAUAAAAAAAAGACAAAAAUAUUAUAUUUCAGCCGACCUCUUUUAGGUUUCUAUUAAUAUAUUUAUUUAUUUUAUGUUUUUUUUUAAUAAUGAAUAGGUAAGUUAUAUCUAACUAAUAAUAUAAUGCAUUGCUUCCUACAUCCACAUAUACUAAAAGACUUACUAUAGCCAUAUAAGUAGUUAUUUAACUCGCACUUCGGUAUGGAUCACAAAAUUGUUUUUAGCAAAAAAUAAAUUUGUAUGCUUUUCAAUUGCAUUUUUAACCAAAAACAAAUCCUAAUCAUAAAUACAAAAAAAAAAGUGUUGAUGCAUUUAUUUAAUUCACUUUGCUACGAGUUAGAUAAUUUUUUGAACGCAAAAAAAAAUAUAUAUAAAUGUUGUUAACGUAUUUUUAAAAAUCAAGAGAAAAUUAUAAUUGUGGAUAAAAAAGUUGAUGUUUACAUAUAAUAAAUAAAUAAGGACCAUAAGUGUUCAUAAAUAUAAAAAAUAGUGUAACGCAUCGUGCCACAUAUAGGAUCUUAAGUUAAUUUUUAAUGUAGUAGAAAAAUGGGACAUUGUUUCAACUGCAUUUCAUUGUAUUAUGAUUCUCUUAAUUAAGAAAUGUAAAAAACAAUCUUACAAAAAUAUGAACUAAUAAACUAAUAAAGAGUUGUUAAUGCCAAUCAAAUUAUAAAAUAAAAUGAUAAUCAUUUUCAUAAAAGUAAAAGAUACAUAAAUAUGAUACUUAACCUUAACUUUCAUCUUCAUGCGCACUUUUCUCCUUCUUUUUUUUUUUUUUAUCUUAAAGGUCACUUUUUCUUACCAAGAACAAAUAAUUCUUAUUUUUAUAAACACGUCAUGAAAAUAAAGUUUAUUUAUAUAAAAUAUAAAAAAAACAUAUAGAUGAAUUGGAAUAAUUUUUUCUAGAUAUUAAAUACAUAAAAGAUAAGUAAAAGAUAUCCAUUAUUUAGAAAAAAACUAAAUAAACAAUCUAAAUAUUUAGAGAGAAAAGUAUUAAUUUAAAUAUAAAUUCAAAAAUUCAUUAAAAAUACAUAAAAAAAUAUCAAUUAAGAAAACAAAAUUAGAAAAAAAAAAUAGAAAUGGAUCAAGUGCUUUUGGGCCUAGUAAGUCGGGCCUACACAUCAAGCCCAUUUUGAAAAGGGUUGGUACGUAUGGGCCUUUUUUAUUUGAAAAAGCUCCAAAUGUUUUUGAAAAAAAAAUAAAGAAAAGCGACAUGUCACCUACCGAGACUUUUCAGUUCUUGACCAUUGGAGAGGUGACUAGAAAAUUAAGCAAGGUGAUUUUUGACCAAAAAAUGCAAAUUUAAACAAAGUUCACACCAAAACACCUAAAAAUGGUCUUUAUGAUGUAAUAAACCAAUAAAACAGCCCAAAAACUAUAAAUGUUUUGGCAAUUUCAAGAGCAAAAAACAUUUCAAUGGAACUCUCUUCAUCAAAUGAAACUCAUUAAAACAAAAAUCAACCAUUUUUUAUGGCGAAAAUCAGUGCCAACUGAGACUGUAAAACCCCGGGUAAUAUUAUUAAUAUUAAUAAAAGUCAAGAUUACGAAAAAUGAGGGAAAGUGAUAAAUUAAAUUAUAAGAAUGAUGAUAUAUUCGAGAAUCUGAAUUGGAAUGUUUUGUUCGGGUGUUAAAAUAUAUAUAAAAAAUAAAUAUAAAUAAAUAAACAUGAAAAUGUGAAUAAAUUUUUUAUGGAAAUGAAUUUCAUGAAACUGAAAGUACUAACGAAUAACUGAGUGAAAUUUGAAAUAAUCUGGAUAAAAUUUGGUAUAAACAAGUGUUAGGAUUCAUGAAAUUUUACCCAAAAAUCAUAAAAUUUACUAUUGAGGAAUAUAGAAGGUAUUUUUAAAAAGUUAAGUAAUUAUAUGUGUGUAUGGGGAAGAAAAAAAUUGAGGGACGUGGAAGGUAUUUAAAAAAAAGAGUUAAUUAUAUAUAUAUAUAUAUAUAUAUAUAUAUAUAUAUAUAUAUAUAUAUAUGAGUGCAAGUGAGUGUGUGCUAUAAGGAAACAAAAAAAAACAAACUUGCUUUUUCAAAGAGAAGGAAGCAAUCGGUCAGGAGAGAAAAAACAAAUUCAAGCAAGGAAAAUUUCUCAAUUUAAAAGUGUUAAAGCUUUGGUUAUUGCUUGGUAAGAUGUCCUCAAACUUUUAAAUAAGAUUCUUGAAGAAUUUAUGCUUUAAAUUGAUUGAACUUUGUGAAAUGAGGAAUUAGGGUUCAUGAUAAAUUUUAGAGAAAAUUACAAUUGAUUGUGAAAUUGUGUUAAGAUUAUUGAAGUGAGUAGAGAAAGUAAGAAAUUAUGGUAAUUAAAGCAAAAUUUUAGGUGUUCUUGAAGAAGGGAUUUUUGGAAAAAUAAUAAUAAUAAAAAUAAAAAUUUAAGAGUUUUGAUAAGAUGAUGCGAUUGUGUAAGAAAGAGAUGAUAUUAAUGUUAAAGAGUGAAUAGAUCAUGAAAUUGUUUUAUGUUUUUCUUUGAUUUAAAUUACGGUAAAAAUUAAAUAAAUGAAUUUAAAGAAUAUAUAUAUUGAUUUGAAUGAUAAAAUGAAUUGUGUUACAAUGUGGAAAUUGGAAGAAUAGGAAGGAAAUUUACAAAAUGAUUUUAUUUUGGCAAAUAAAAGGAUAAUUGGAAUGAUUUUAUUUAUUGAGUGUUUCAAUAUGGAAAGUAGAAUAAUGAUGUGAUAUACUUGUCAAUUCAAGAGAGGCUGCCAGGCCGACACCACAGCAGGAAAUUUCAGCUCGAGCUUAGUCAUCAGGUAAUUACACGGUACUUGAAUUUAUUAUUGGUUAAUAUGUAUUUUUAUUUGAUUAAUUAUGGUUGAUAAAUUAGUAAUUAUUAUAUUGUUUAUUUUAAAAAAUAAGAUAUGCGAUGUGAUGAAUUAAUUCUUGAACUAAUGGGAUUAAUGUCCUAGUGAAUGGGCGUGAUGAGGAAUUAAGUCCUUGGUUAAUGGGUAAAUUGUUGAACUAAUUCCUGAUUUAAUAGAAUUAGUGCCCUGACAAAUUAAUAGGCGAGAUGAAGAAUUAAUUUUCCUGGUUAAUGGGAUUUGUACCCUGAUGAAUGGAUUAAACGUUAAACUAAUUUUUGGAUUGAUGACAAUAGUGCUUGUUGAAUGGACUGGUGGAAAAUUAAUCAUCUAUUAGUGAAAGUAAUGCCGGGUUAAUUGGGCGAUGAGAAUAAUUAUUUUUUUGGUUGAUGUUAAAAAAGAAAAAGAAAACAAACUAAUAGAUUAUUCUGAAAUUUAAUUGAUAUAUAUAAUACUAUAUGAGCAAGUUAAUUUAAUGAUCUUUUGACUAAAUUUUCAAAAAAAAAAAAGGAAGAAAGAAAGAAAGUAAAAAGAAUUUUAUGGAUAUCUUUUCUUCAUCUGUCUAAUCGAAUUAUUGUAUUAAAUUAAUUUUCAGGUACAUCCCCCUAUCGGAUUGAACAGUAGAUUAGUUUUCUUAUAUUUUGUUUGGUAUUUUUUUUUGUAAUGAAUGAAUUUAUCAUUUUGUUAUGUAAUAUAAUGCGUCAACAGUUUAUCGAAAGCUCUUUUGUGUAGUAUAAUCUUAAUUAUGAAUUUCUUCUUUAAUUACGUACUUAUUUCGAUUAUAAUUUCGUUAAUGGUCCUUAUUUGUAAAUUUUUGAAUUGUGUAAUGUACUUCAGUUAUAAUUUGUAGAACAAUUCUUUGGAUUGUAUCCAUGUAAAUGUGGGAUAUUGAAUUGUUUAGACAUGUGUGAAUUUGAUUAUUUAGAAGUUGUGAUGUAAUGAGAGGAGGAAGUCCUGGAUGAUAGGAUGAGUAAGAAAUUUGAUAAUUAGGGAUUGUAGAUGAAAAGUCGAUAACUUGAUACCUAAAAAUAUAGAGAAAACUCUGCCGAAUUUUUUAUUGAUUAAAAAAAAAUCCCUAAUUUUAUUUGAAUCAUCAUGUCCGUGCUCUUUGUUUUAAUACAAAUGUUGAGGCUGCUACAAAGACUCUCUUUAACAUUGAAAUCCAAUGACUUUUUGUCUCCUCUAUCAAAUUUAGGGAUGAGAACAUAGAAAAAUGAAUUUGUGGAUAAAAAAUAAAAUGUAGGAAAACUUAAGGAACCAAAAAGUCAUUAUUUGAAAGUAUAAGAAUCAAAGUGAAUUUUUAACUUCAUCAUGAAACUACCAUCUUUUUUUGCGCUNNNNNNNNNNNNNNNNNNNNNNNNNNNNNNNNNNNNNNNNNNNNNNNNNNNNNNNNNNNNNNNNNNNNNNNNNNNNNNNNNNNNNNNNNNNNNNNNNNNNNNNNNNNNNNNNNNNNNNNNNNNNNNNNNNNNNNNNNNNNNNNNNNNNNNNNNNNNNNNNNNNNNNNNNNNNNNNNNNNNNNNNNNNNNNNNNNNNNNNNNNNNNNNNNNNNNNNNNNNNNNNNNNNNNNNNNNNNNNNNNNNNNNNNNNUUUUAUCCAUCAUAGAAGACUCACACACACAGAAUCUGAUAACUUUAUGAGCUGGACAUCACCCAUGAUGGUAUUAUCCAGCUAUAAAUUGGUCCCAAAUCGAAGCUCAAAUCUCACUGGCUUGCCCUAGAUUUCUCCUUAGAUUAUGUUAUUCUUCACCAACCAAGAUUAUGUUCCAAAUCUGAUAUUACCCUAUUUUUGUCCACCUUUGAAAUUAUUUUCUUUCUUUCUUCAGAGAACAUUUCCAAAAUCUAGAGAGGCCACUUUUUCCAUCUUAUUUCCCUCAUGUAACUUCUCUCCAUAGCCGUCAAAUCAUUAAGCACCACGUGUACCACCAAAAGUUUGUCCACCCAGACUCACUCUAUCAUUGCGCACUGUAAUAUGCGUUAUUUCACAUACUUGCCACUGUAUCACUGCUCACCAAUGGUGGCCCCACAACUGUUCCUCGGUAUCUGCGUCACUCCAAGACAACAACAUAAAAUAUUUCUGACUAGAUUUUCUUGGUGCUCUUUGUUUUUUUUUCUUUUUUUCUUUUCUUGUUUUCACUUCAAAGGAGAAAAAACAAUUAACAAACAGAGUUCGUGAGGGU